UAAGGAAUCUUCCGCAAUGGACGAAAGUCUGACGGAGCAACGCCGCGUGAGCGAAGAAGGCCUUCGGGUCGUAAAGCUCUGUUGUUAUGGAAGAACAAGUACGAGAGUAACUGCUCGUACCUUGACGGUACCUAACCAGAAAGCCACGGCUAACUACGUG
rnacentral:rRNA from 1 species